GACCUCAAAUCAGGCGAGAUCACCCGCUGAAUUUAAGCAUAUAACUAAGCGGAGGAAAAGAAACUAACCAGGAUUCCCUUAGUAACGGCGAGCGAAACGGGAAAAGCCCAGCGUGAAAAUCCGGGAGGCCUCCUCCCCGAAUUGUAGUCUGAAGAGGCGUUUUCAGUGACGAGCCGAGCAUAAGUCCCUUGGAAUAGGGUGUCAUAGAGGGUGAAAACCCCGUUUAUGGCUUGGAGAUCGUUGCAAUACGAUACGCUUUCAUAGAGUCGGGUUGUUUGGGAAUGCAGCCCUAAGUAGGUGGUAAACUUCAUCUAAGGCUAAAUAUUAGCGAGAGACCGAUAGCGCAGAAGUACCGUGAGGGAAAGAUGCAAAGUACUUUGAAAGGAGAGUGAAAUAGGACCUGAAACCGCUAAGGGGGAAGCGGAUGAAGUCAGUAUGCCAUUGUGCCUCCAGAGUCCUGGAAAGGGCUUGUAUCGGUGCGAUUGGCGAGUCAGCGCGGGUCUGGCGUCGGUAGUGGUGGUUGGGGAUUAGCCUUCCACAUAUCUAUUCGCGUCCAGUCCGAGGGAAUCCCCGCAAGGGUGAGGGCGCUGACGAAAUGGCUUUAUUCGACCCGUCUUGUAACACGGACCAAGGAGUCUAACAUGCAUGCGAGUGUUUGAGUGGAAAACUCGACGACGCGUAAUGAAAGUAAAGGUGCAUUUUGCACUGAGGUGUUUUCAACAUCGUCCGACCUGGAUCUUCUGUGAAGGGUUUGAGAGUGAGCAUGUAUGCUGGGACCCGAAAGAUGGUGAACUAUGCCUGAGUAGGGCGAAGCCAGGGGAAACUCUGGUGGAGGCUCGAAGCGAUGCUGACGUGCAAAUCGCUCGUCGAACUUGGGUAUAGGGGCGAAAGACUAAUCGAACCAUCUAGUAGCUGGUUCCCUCCGAAGUUUCCCUCAGGAUAGCGGGAGCAGAUACAGUUGUACCGGGUAAAGCGAAUGAUUAGAGGAUACGGGGAGGAAACCUCCUCGACCUAUUCUCAAACUUUAAAUAGGUACGGAGUAUGCGUUGCUUAAUUGAACGGAUACGGACAAUGACUGCUCUCUGUGGGCCAUUUUUGGUAAGCAGAACUGGCGAUGCGGGAUGAACCGAAAGCCGGGUUAAGGUGCCAAAGUGUACGCUCAUGAGAACCCAUAAAAGGUGUUGAUGCAUUAAGACAGCAGGACGGUGGCCAUGGAAGUCGGAAUCCGCUAAGGAGUGUGUAACAACUCACCUGCCGAAUGCAUUAGCCCUGAAAAUGGAUGGCGCUUAAGCGUGCGACCGAAACUCGGCCGACGUUGCAAUGGAUAGGCAGCGUCGUGUAGGAGGGCGUGGGGUUUGUUGUGCAGCCUUGGGCGCG
rnacentral:rRNA from 1 species